UACAGAGGCCUCAAGCGUUAGGCGGAAUCACUGGGCUUAAAGCGCGUGUAGGCGGAUCGUUAAGUGUCUUGUGAAAUCCCACGGCUCAACCGUGGAACUGCUGGGCAUACUGGCGAUCUUGGGCCACUCAGGGGCAACCGGAACAAGCGGUGGAGCGGUGAAAUGCGUAGAUAUCGCUUGGAACGCCAAAGGUGAAGACAGGUUGCUGGGGGUGUGCCGACGCUGAGAC
rnacentral:rRNA from 1 species